UGGGGAAUAUUUGACAAUGUGCGCAAGCCUGAUCCAGCCAUGCCGCGUGAGUGAUGAAGGCCCUUGGGGUGUAAAGCUCUUUCACCGGUGAAGAUAAUGACGGUAACCGGAGAAGAAGCCCCGGCUAACUUCGUGCCAGCAGCCGCGGUAAUACGAAGGGGGCUAGCGUUGUUCGGAUUUACUGGGCGUAAAGCGCACGUAGGCGGACUAUUAAGUGAGGGGUGAAAUCCCGGGGCUAAACCCCGGAACUGCCUUUGAUAUUGGUAGUAUUGAGUUGGAGAGGGGUGAGUGAAAUUCCGAGUGUAGAGGUGAAAUUCGUAGAUAUUCGGAGGAACACCAGUGGCGAAGGCGGUUCACUGGCUCGAUACUUACGCUGGGGUGCGAAAGCGUGGGGAGAAAACAGG
rnacentral:rRNA from 1 species